rnacentral:misc_RNA from 1 species
AGUACGCGAGGGCAAAGUUGGAAGCGUGAUGGAGUGAGGAAACUUUAACACAAAGAAAAGUGGAAACGUUUUUGGUUGAAGCAUGUGACAAUCAGUAGCCAUACAACAUGGGUCGUGGUCUUUCUUCUUCAUAAUAAAAAGAACUCACAGGUAGGGUAAAUAUUACGC